AUUGAACGCUGGCGGCAGGCCUAACACAUGCAAGUCGAACGAGUGGCGGACGGGUGAGUAAUGUCUGUGAAACUGCCCGAUGGUGGGGGAUAACUACUGGAAACGGUAGCUAAUACCGCAUACCAUCGGAUGUGCCCAGAUGGGAUUCGCUAGUGUGUGGGGUAACGGCACACCUACGCGACGAUCCCUAGCUGGUCUGAGAGGAUGACCAGCCACACUGGAACGGAGCCACGGUCCAGACCCCUACGGUAGGCAGGAGUGGAGAAUAUUGCACAAGUGGAGCAAGCCUGAUGCAGCCAUGCCGAGUGUAGGAAGAAGGCAUUCGUGUUGGAAAGGACAUUCAGCGAGGUGGAGUUACUAGCAGAAGAAGCAUCGGCUAACUCCGUGCCAGCAGCCGCGGUAAUUC
rnacentral:rRNA from 1 species